UACGGAGGGUGCGAGCGUUAAUCGGACUUACUGGGCGUAAAGCGCGCGUAGGCGGCUAAGUCAGUCGGAUGUGAAAGCCCUGGGCUUAACCUGGGCACUGCAUUCGAUACUGCUUGACUAGAGUAUGGUAGAGGGAAGUGGAAUUCCGGGUGUAGCGGUGAAAUGCGUAGAUAUCCGGAGGAACACCAGUGGCGAAGGCGACUUCCUGGACCAAUACUGACGCUGAGGUGCGAAAGCGUGGGGAGCAAACAGG
rnacentral:rRNA from 1 species